rnacentral:rRNA from 1 species
CAGUCGCCACGGUAACACGUAGGGUGCAAGCGUUAAUCGGAAUUACUGGGCGUAAAGCGUGCGCAGGCGGUGUUGUAAGACUGAUGUGAAAUCCCCGGGCUCAACCUGGGAACUGCAUUGGUGACUGCAACGCUGGAGUGCGGCAGAGGGGGAUGGAAUUCCGCGUGUAGCAGUGAAAUGCGUAGGUAUGCGGAGGAACACCGAUGGCGAAGGCAAUCCCCUGGGCCUGCACUGACGCUCAUGCACGAAAGCGUGGGGAGCAAACAGGAUUAGAUACCCCAGUAGUCCCUGUCUCUUAUAC